CCUACGGGAUGCAGCAGUGAGGAAUAUUGGUCAAUGGACGAGAGUCUGAACCAGCCAAGUAGCGUGAAGGAUGACUGCCCUAUGGGUUGUAAACUUCUUUUAUAUGGGAAUAAAAUGUUCCACGUGUGGGCUUUUGUAUGUACCCUAUGAAUAAGAAUCGGCUAACUCCGUGCCAGCAGCCGCGGUAAUACGGAGGAUCCGAGCGUUAUCCGGCUUUAUUGGGUUUAAAGGGAGCGUAGGUGGAUUGUUAAGUCAUGUGUGAAAGUUUGCGGCUCAACCGUAAAAUUGCAGUUGAAACUGGCAGUCUUGAGUACAGUAGAGGUGGGCGGAAUUCGUGGUGUAGCGGUGAAAUGCUUAGAUAUCACGAAGAACUCCGAUUGCGAAGGCAGCUCACUGGACUGCAACUGACACUGAGGCUCGAAAGUGUGGGUAUCAAACAGGAUUAGAUACCCUUGUAGUC
rnacentral:rRNA from 1 species